rnacentral:misc_RNA from 1 species
AAGUCGUAACAAGGUUUCCGUAGGUGAACCUGCGGAAGGAUCAUCAACAAAUCUAAUACUGCCUUCGGGCAAUAUACCAAUGUGAAUUGACUAGCUUCACACUAGUGUUGCUGGUUUGAUGUAUGCUUGUAGUGAAAACUCUCGCAUCAUAUUAACGAGUAUUACAGAGUCUGUUUAAAAUAUAUAAUCUUAUACAACUUUUAACAAUGGAUCUCUUGGCUCUU